rnacentral:rRNA from 1 species
UCGAACGAAGUAGCAAUACUUAGUGGCAGACGGGUGAGUAACAUGUAGGNAUCUGCCCUUUGGCCUGGAAUAACACGAGGAAACUNCNGCUAAUACCGGAUAAGUCUUUACGGAGAAAGCUUUAUGCACCAUUGGAUGAGCCUGCACUUGAUUAGUUUGUUGGUGGGGUAAUGGCCUACCAAGACUGUGAUCAAUAGCUGAUUUGAGAGGAUGAUCAGCCACAUUGGGACUGAGACACGGCCCAAACUCCUACGGGAGGCAGCAGUGGGGAAUCUUGCACAAUGGAGGAAACUCUGAUGCAGCGAUGCCGCGUGAGUGAAGAAGGCCCUUGGGUUGUAAAGCUCUUUCGUCGGGGAAGAAAAUGACUGUACCCGAAUAAGAAGGUCCGGCUAACUUCGUGCCAGCAGCCGCGGUAAUACGAAGGGACCUAGCGUAGUUCGGAAUUACUGGGCUUAAAGAGUUCGUAGGUGGUUGAAAAAGUUAGUGGUGAAAUCCCAGAGCUUAACUCUGGAACUGCCAUUAAAACUUUUCAGCUAGAGUAUGAUAGAGGAAAGCAGAAUUUCUAGUGUAGAGGUGAAAUUCGUAGAUAUUAGAAAGAAUACCAAUUGCGAAGGCAGCUUUCUGGAUCAUUACUGACACUGAGGAACGAAAGCAUGGGUAGCGAAGAGGAUUAGAU